rnacentral:rRNA from 1 species
AUACGUAGGGGGCGAGCGUUGUCCGGAUUUAUUGGGCGUAAAGGGUUCGUAGGCGGUUAUUUAAGUCAGAUGUGAAAGGCGCAGGCUUAACCUGUGUAAGCAUUUGAAACUGGAUAACUUGAGUUAAGGAGAGGAAAGUGGAAUUCCUAGUGUAGCGGUGAAAUGCGUAGAUAUUAGGAGGAAUACCAGUGGCGAAGGCGACUUUCUGGACUUAAACUGACGCUGAGGAACGAAAGCGUGGGGAGCAAACAGGAUUAGAUACCCUGGUAGUCCACGCCGUAAACGAUGAGUGCUAGGUGUUGGGGGUCAAACCUCGGUGCCGCAGCUAACGCAUUAAGCACUCCGCCUGGGGAGUACGUACGCAAGUAUGAA